rnacentral:misc_RNA from 1 species
AAACUGCGAUAAGUAGCGUGAAUUGCAGACGCUUUGAACGUUAAACUUUCGAACGCACAUUGCGCCGUAGGAGUCCUACCCUGCGGCACAUCUGGUUGAGGGUCGUGAUCAAAAACAGCAGGACUAUGGCUGAAAUAGAAAUAGCUGGUGAAUCACGAGUUCGGCCUACCGCCUCUGGCCGAACGUGUUUUGCCAUAAUGCUAGAAGAGGACAAUCGCUCGCAAGAGAGAUUGCCUACCACACGGAUGAUCUAUUAGCUGAAGCAAUAGGUCUCGGUCACCGGGUAUCAUGCUUAUAUACUCUGUGGCGUCUGAGAUACAGCUAGUGGGCUGCAUACGUGCCUGGUAUUGAGAGUAUUCGCUCUCCCGACCUCAACUCAGGUGGGAUUACCCGCUGAACUUAAGC